AUCUGUGUUAGUGAGCACUUCUCCUUUGGCCUUUUAUUGUGGCCAGCCUAAGGCACACCUGUGCAAUUAUCAUGCUGUCUAAUCAGCAUCUUGAUAUGCCACACCUGUGAGUGGAUGGAUUAUCAUGGCAAAGGAGAAGUGCUCACUAACACAGAU